GCACCCGUAGCUCAGUAGGAUAGAGCAUCCGCCUUCUAAGCGGAGGGUCAGAGGUUCGAAUUCUCUCGGGUGCG
rnacentral:tRNA from 1 species